GGCGGAAGGAGGCAGCUUGGUACUUUCGUUUUCCUGCCCAGAGUCUGCGGAGAGGCCGACUUACACUAGGGUACCGCGGCGGUUGGACCCCGGACCAAGAAGAGGCUACCCGGAGCGCUCGGAGAGGCAGCACCUGCGCGUUUCCGCCGCUGCACCCGCGAGCACCCCUGUUCACCCCUUCCGGGCUUGGCUCGCAGACAAGUUUUCCUAUUCCCUGUGCCACCCGCGGUAACUAAGACGUUCGCACUCCUGCAUGCAAACCCGACAGUCUUGGCACCUAACGAGCUGAGUGUAGCUGCUGCUUUGGUUGGAUCCUCAGCCUCUCAUACCGUGCCAGGCACAAGGAGGCAGUUAAGUAAAUGUUCAUGGAAAAGAAUGAAUGAGCACAUGAAUCUGAAAUCGUAAUGACGUGUAUAUGUUUAAAGAUAAAGGCGCGUAAAUAGCUUCUUGGUAUUUAAAAAGUGAUACUUAGUUCCUGCAUAC